rnacentral:rRNA from 1 species
GGGAGACUUGAGUGCAGGAGAGGAGAGUGGAAUUCCUAGUGUAGCGGUGAAAUGCGUAGAUAUUAGGAGGAACACCAGUGGCGAAGGCGGCUCUCUGGACUGUAACUGACGCUGAGGCACGAAAGCGUGGGGAGCAAACAGGAUUAGAUACCCUGGUAGUCCACGCUGUAAACGAUGAGUACUAGGUGUCGGGGGUUACCCCC